CCGCGCUAUGCGGGGAAGUAGCGGAGCCCUGAACCUGCAAUCCGCUGUAGCAGGGCAGAAGCCUGUAUUGCGGCUGGCAUUUGUGGGGUUUGCCCCUGGCAAGUAGCGAUGACAGUUGGGUCCGACGCAACAUGAACCCAUGAACCCCGUCAGGUCCGGAAGGAAGCAGCGGUAAGUGUGCAAGCGUGUGUGCCGUCGGGUAGCCUGAUUCGAGUUAACUACUAGGGUUAGCGACCGGAAGUGUUAGUCAAAGACAGGGCGCGG
rnacentral:SRP_RNA from 1 species